rnacentral:rRNA from 1 species
UACGGGGGGGGCAAGCGUUGUUCGGAAUUACUGGGCGUAAAGGGCUCGUAGGCGGCCAACUAAGUCGGACGUGAAAUCCCCAGGCUCAACCUGGGAACUGCGUCCGAUACUGGAUGGCUUGAAUCCGGGAGAGGGAUGCAGAAUUCCAGGUGUAGCGGUGAAAUGCGCAGAUAUCAGGAGGAACACCGAUGGCGAAGGCAGGUCUCUGGGCCACUACUGACGCUGAGAAGCGAAAGCGUGGGGAGCGAACAGG